rnacentral:rRNA from 2 species
UGUGACCUCAAAUCAGGUAGGACUACCCGCUGAACUUAAGCAUAUCAAUAAGCGGAGGAAAAGAAACUAACAAGGAUUCCCCUAGUAACUGCGAGUGAAGCGGGAAAAGCUCAAAUUUAAAAUCUGUCAGUCUUUGGCUGUCCGAGUUGUAAUCUAGAGAAGUGUUAUCCGCGCUGGACCGUGUACAAGUCUCCUGGAAUGGAGCGUCAUAGAGGGUGAGAAUCCCGUCUUUGACACGGACUGCCAGGGCUUUGUGAUAUGCUCUCAAAGAGUCGAGUUGUUUGGGAAUGCAGCUCAAAAUGGGUGGUAAAUUCCAUCUAAAGCUAAAUAUUGGCGAGAGACCGAUAGCGAACAAGUACCGUGAGGGAAAGAUGAAAAGAACUUUGGAAAGAGAGUUAAACAGUACGUGAAAUUGCUGAAAGGGAAACGCUUGAAGUCAGUCGCGUUGUCCAGGGAUCAGCCUUGCUUUUGCUUGGUGUACUUUCUGGUUGACGGGUCAGCAUCAAUUUUGACUGUUGGAAAAAGGUCAGGGGAAUGUGGCAUCUUCGGAUGUGUUAUAGCCCUUGGUUGCAUACAAUGGUUGGGAUUGAGGAACUCAGCACGCCGCAAGGCCGGG